CUUAUGAUAGUUUAAAGAAUAUCCUGAGGCUCUAGUCUAAAACUGACCUGUUUUAUUUAGUUUCAUCUACAGGAACCAAGACUGUCUGUGAUGUGAUGCAGUUUACUACAUGUCAUGGGACCCUGGGAGAACCUACAUAUUUACAGUUGCUGCCAAGUGCCGUUGGACAUCAAUUACUUUGCAAGAAAAUGACUCAGAAUGGUCUUACAGGGGUUUUUAGAUUUAGAAAUAACCAGAUUGUUUUCUUCAAUGAGUCUUUCAACUAUUCUAUACAGGACCGAUGGCAUUUUGUUCCCACAAACGGUACAAUAAUUAUUAACCCAGCAACAAAGAGAGACUCAGGAACAUACAGAGUAGAGAUCCACAGUGAAGAAACAGGGGCGCUUGUGGCAAAUACCACAAUACAGCUGAUUGUUUUGGGUACACACAGUACUGUGAGAUCCAUUUUGACUGACAGGACCGACAACCCCAACAAGAUGGAAACACGUGUUUACUCGGCCCGUUCUGUAUCAGCUUCACUUGGCGUGGUCCUGCUGUGUGUGACUGUGUAUGGGGGAGUAUACUACGUCUGCCAGAAGAGGACACACACACCCAAACCAGAGCUGGAGUGCUGUGUGUAUGUUCAGGUUCAACGAGGACAGUGAGAGGAGGCUGGGUAUUGUUCUUCAAUCAUUCGAUGGCUCAGAUUUGUCUAAGAUUUUCUCUGCAUAGCUUUUUUCCGGCUCCACCCCGCCCCAAUACCAUGUAUUAUUCACAAUUAGCCUACCCCAGCCUCUUUUGUGGAUGCUAUAUUCUGGAUAUGCUCUUUUUCUCACUGUUAUAUUAAACUGUGGUC
rnacentral:lncRNA from 1 species